rnacentral:lncRNA from 1 species
UGCUUGAAUUGGUUCAUAAGCUGAUGAAAAACAUGUAAACUUGCCACUAAAAAUGGUUAGAACUAAUUACUAAGGAGCUUAAUGAAUUAAUUGGGUUAAAUGAAUAUGAUUACUACUCAAAGGUGCUUAAAACCCUUAUAAUUAGGUCUACAAAAUAGCACUUUUCGGUAGUAAUCACACCCCCCAACCGACUCAUUGCUAGUCCCUUAGCAAUGGAGGAGAUAAAAACUAAGCAAACAUAAUAAUAUACAUAAAAGAGGUCAUGCAAAUCACUCCAAAAAAUAAUUGAGUGGCAUGACUGAUAUCAAAACACAUCUCACAUGGUGAACUAAAGAUAUGAAGAUUCAAAAUGCAAUAGGAGUUGUCAAAGCUAAAACUUAAACAAAAAGUACAAAGAGUGGAGAUUAUGCAAUUAAGUAUCAAAAGAAUCUCUACUCUCAAGGUUCCGAAUCAAACUCUUCCAUAAUGAGCUAAGUGUUAAUGAGAUUAGCUUCCGGAUAUAGUAUGUACAACUAUCCUCUCCCCCCAACCUAAGCUUUUCUCGAACUUUGGCAAAAUUAACCAACUCUUAAUAGGUUAGGAACGCACCUUUUUAUUCACAAUUCUUUUUACUC